ensembl:lncRNA
GCAAAACACUUGGAUUUAUCCAGUGUUGCUUUAUUCAAGCAAUAACUGAAGUUAGGUUUUUAAAAUAAUGAUCAGUUAUGUGGAAGUGCAACUUAACUCAUUUUGUGCUUGACAAGAUAAUUUGCUCACAAAUAUAUUCAGUUGCCCUAAAAUAAAACACUUCAGUUUGCCUCAUUAAUUCUGCCUCAGAGCAAACAGGUUGAUGUCAAACCACUUCUCUAAUUCUACAACUCUAAUUGUAAAACCUUUAGCAUAACUUGCAGUGGUGUAACAGUCAAAGCAUUUCAGUCUUUCCAACUCCAGUUCAACAUUCAAGACAAUUAAAAUUCUUCUCCAAAUCACUUUAUUUCACACUUUAACCAAAACACACUGGCCAACUCCCCAGCUUCUUUAGGGUUUAAUAUUAACACAGGAAUACUAUAAACUUUGAAAACAGAAAUACUUUGUGUCACAAGACAAAAACUGCAUCGUACCAAAUAAAAAGGUUCACAUGUAGUAUUACCAGAAUACUGGUAGAAGAAAACAAACUCAUUUACACACUUGGGCUUUUUGCGGCAGUUUCGACGUUUGGUCUUUAACCACCGUCUUGAUGACCCCCACAGCAACUGUCUGCUUCAGGUCUCUUGCUGCAAAGCGACCUGGAGAGCAAAAUUAAAGUUAGGAGGAUGUACAAGUCAACAUGGGGAAAACUUAUAGAAAAGUAGAUGCUGUACCUAAAGGAGGGUAUGUGAAGAAGCUCUCCACACACAUGGGCUUGAUGGGAACCAGUUUGACUGUAGCAGCGUCUCCAGACAUCAGGACCUGCGGAUUAUCCUCCAGCUUCUUACCCGUCCGACGGUCCAGCUUCUCCUUCAGCUCAGCAAAUCGACAGGUGACGUGGGCGGUGUGGCAGUCCAGGACAGGGGAGUAGCCCGAUUUGAUCUUCCCUGGGUGGUUGAGGAUGAUCACCUGGAGACCAAAACGUCACAUGAGGGAGCAAGAACAGUUUGAAGUUCUAUUAUUCAAUGCAUUCAACCAACCUGAGCCUCAAAGCUGCUGACGUCUGAGGGAGGAUCCUGCUGGGCGUUGCCAGCCACAUCGCCACGCCGCAGGUUCUUCACGGCCACAUUCUUGAUGUUGAAGCCGACGUUGUGGCCUGGAAGAGCCGUCUGCAGGCCCUGGUGGUGCAUCUCAAUGGACUUGACCUCUGCUGUGAGCUUGGCGGGGGAGAACAUCAGGGUCAUGCCCGGUUUGAGGACGCCAGUUUCGAUUUUACCCACUGGAACAGUACCAACUCCUAAGAGAAUCAAAACAUGUAGAUGUAGUUUUGUGCAUCGUCUCCUGAAUACCUGGACCUCAUUUAAUCAAUCAAACGCAAUGAAUUUAGACCUUAAAAAAACGAUUAGAGCAGUCUGACCUCCAAUUUUGUACACAUCCUGCAGAGGUAACCUUAGAGGCUUGUUGAUUGUGCGGAUAGGCGGGUGGAUGGAGUCCAGGACUUCCAGUAGAGUUCUCCCACAUGCAGUCCCUUCCCUUCGUCUCACUUUCCAUCCUUGGAACCACGGCAUCUGCACACACAUUCAUUAUUUGACACAUUGCACAUCAACCUGUGGCAAUUUAAGGCCUCAGAUAUUUCACCUUCUGGGUUGCAGUGAUCAUGUUCUCCCCAGUCCAGCCGGAAACGGGAACAAACGGUACAGCCGUGGUGUCGUAGCCGAUCUUCCUGAGGAACCCGCUCACUCCCCGCACCACUUCCUCAAAGCGUUUCUGGCUGUAAGGCGGCUCGGUCAGGUCCAUCUUGUUCACGCAGACUAUAAUUUGCUUCACGCCCAGAGUGUAAGCCAGCAGGGCAUGCUCUCUGGUCUGACCGCUUCUGGAAACACCGGCCUCGAACUCUCCUUUAGCUGCAGAGACCACCAGCAGGGCAACAUCAGCCUGCAAUGACAGUCACACAACCGUUUUUUUUUUUUAAAGAAACAAAGCAGCUUAUUCCUACUGAAAAUGCUGGAACUUGUGUGUCUUUACCUGUGAUGUCCCGGUUAUCAUGUUCUUAAUGAAGUCACGGUGGCCCGGAGCAUCAAUUAUAGUCAUGGUGUAUUUCUGGGUGUUGAACUUCAGCAGGGAAAUAUCAAUAGUGAUUCCUCGCUCACGUUCGGCUUUCAGCUUGUCCAACACCCAGGCAAAUUUGAAAGAAGUCUUCCCCAUCUAGAAAACAAGUUUCAUUAGAGUUGAACACUUAAAUUUCCUUUCCUCAUUCCUUACAGAGCACCAUUUCUUCCUCACUUGAGCUGCAGCUUUCUCAAACUUCUCCAGUCUCCUCUGAUCGAUGCCUCCACAUUUGUAGACCAGGUGUCCGGUGGUGGUCGACUUGCCGCUGUCGACGUGGCCGAUGAUCACCACGUUAACGUGAGUCUUCUCUUUUCCCAUGGCUGAAAGCGGAUUUACUGACCAAACGAAGAAACUGCAGGGCUACAAAUAUCACACUUGUAGAUCCUUCUAUCAAAUAGAUCUGACCAGCUGCUUUAGGAGCAGCUUUAUAGGCUCCAGAGACACUUAAGUGGAGACAGGUGUGCUGCUUAAUCAGCCUUAAUUGGUGUCAGUUGAUGAAGAAUUAAAC